ACCCGGAUUAUUCAACCCCGAUAACAGCACCGUGAUCGCACAAAACACCGCACUUGGUUGGACUUUGACCGGUGCUUGUGCGAUUUAAACCCAAAACCCUGCAAGGCGGCCGGGAUGUUCAUACCAAAUGAA